AUUGAACGCUGGCGGCAGGCCUAACACAUGCAAGUCGAACGAGUGGCGGACGGGUGAUUAAUAUCUGGGAAACUGCCUGAUGGAGGGGGAUAACUACUGGAAACGGUAGCUAAUACCUCAUACCAUCAGAUGUGCCCAGAUGGGAUUCGCUAGUAGGUUUGGUAAUGGCUCACCUAGGCGACGAUCCCUAGCUGGUAUGAGAGGAUGAGCAGGCACACGGGGACUGAGACACGGGCCAGACUCCUACGGGAGGCAGCAGUGGGGAAUAGUGCACAAUGGGCGCAAGCCUGAUGCAGCCAUGCCGCGGGUGUGAAGAAGGCCUUCGGGUUGGAAAGCACUUUCAGCGAGGAGGCGUUACGCGCAGAAGAAGCACCUGCUAACUCCGUGCCAGCCGCCGCGGUAAUUC
rnacentral:rRNA from 1 species